AUUGAACGCUGGCGGCAGGCCUAACACAUGCAAGUCGAGCGGAUGAAGGGAGCUUGCUCCUGGAUUCAGCGGCGGACGGGUGAGUAAUGCCUAGGAAUCUGCCUGGUAGUGGGGGAUAACGUCCGGAAACGGGCGCUAAUCCCGCAUACGUCCUGAGGGAGAAAGUGUGGGAUCUUCGGACCUCACGCUAUCAGAUGAGCCUAGGUCGGAUUAGCUAGUUGGUGGGGUAAAGGCCUACCAAGGCGACGAUCCGUAACUGGUCUGAGAGGAUGAUCAGUCACACUGGAACUGAGACACGGUCCAGACUCCUACGGGAGGCAGCAGUGGGGAAUAUUGGACAAUGGGCGAAAGCCUGAUCCAGCCAUGCCGCGUGUGUGAAGAAGGUCUUCGGAUUGUAAAGCACUUUAAGUUGGGAGGAAGGGCAGUAAGUUAAUACCUUGCUGUUUUGACGUUACCAACAGAAUAAGCACCGGCUAACUUCGUG
rnacentral:rRNA from 1 species